GACGAACGCUGGCGGCGUGCCUAAUACAUGCAAGUAGAACGCUGAAGAGAGGAGCUUGCUCUUCUUGGAUGAGUUGCGAACGGGUGAGUAACGCGUAGGUAACCUGCCUGGUAGCGGGGGAUAACUAUUGGAAACGAUAGCUAAUACCGCAUAAAAUGGAUUAUCGCUUGAUAAUCCAUUGAAAGGUGCAAAUGCAUCACUACCAGAUGGACCUGCGUUGUAUUAGCUAGUUGGUGGGGUAACGGCUCACCAAGGCGACGAUACAUAGCCGACCUGAGAGGGUGAUCGGCCACACUGGGACUGAGACACGGCCCAGACUCCUACGGGAGGCAGCAGUAGGGAAUCUUCGGCAAUGGACGGAAGUCUGACCGAGCAACGCCGCGUGAGUGAAGAAGGUUUUCGGAUCGUAAAGCUCUGUUGUAAGAGAAGAACGAGUGUGAGAGUGGAAAGUUCACACUGUGACGGUAUCUUACCAGAAAGGGACGGCUAACUACGUG
rnacentral:rRNA from 1 species